rnacentral:rRNA from 1 species
UACGUAGGGUGCGAGCGUUAAUCGGGAUUACUGGGCGUAAAGCGUGCGCAGGCGGCUAUUUAAGCUUGCUGUGAAAGCCCCGGGCUCAACCUGGGAAUGGCGAUGGAUACUGGCUCGCUAGAGUGCGGUAGAGGAGAGUGGAAUUCCCGGUGUAGCAGUGAAAUGCGUAGAGAUCGGGAGGAACAUCAGUUGCGAAGGCGGCUCUCUGGACCAGCACUGACACUGAGGCACGAAAGCGUGGGGAGCAAACAGG